CACGUAGCUAGCCGGGGCUUCUUAGUCAGGUACCGUCAUUUUCUUUCCUGCUGAUAGAGCUUUACAUACCGAAAUACUUCUUCACUCACGCGGCGUCGCUGCAUCAGGGUUUCCCCCAUUGUGCAAUAUUCCCCACUGCUGCCUCCCGUAGGAGUUUGGGCCGUGUCUCAGUCCCAAUGUGGCCGUUCACCCUCUCAGGCCGGCUACUGAUCGUCGCCUUGGUGGCCUCUACCCCACCAACAAGCUAAUCAGACGCGGGUCCAUCGUAUACCACCGGAGUUUUUCACACCAGACCAUGCGAUCCUGUGCGCUUAUGCGGUUUUAGCUACCUAUUUCUAAGUGUUAUCCCCCUGUAUACGGCAGGUUACCCACGUCGUUACUCACCCGUCCGCCACUAACAGAUAAAUCACUAGGUUCAUUACCUGUCCGUUCGACUUGCAUGUGUUAGCACGCCGCCAGCGUUCACUCCUGAGCCAGGAUACAAACUCU
rnacentral:rRNA from 1 species